AAAAUCUUCUGAAGGACUUUUUGAGGCAGUACAUAACCUAUCUGAACGGGUCUUCAAUAAAUAAGUCAAGUAGUCAUGGCUGGAGGUGCUCAUGCAGAAGAAUCCCAAUUUAAAGGUCUGUCAAAGUAUUUUAACUCACAGACAUUGAAAGGGCGAGCAAAUGUUGCCAAGGCUACUUAUGCUGGAAUUGCUCUAAUAACUCUGUAUAUGAUGACUGGUCGAAAGAAGAAAGCAGAACCAACACCCAAGAAGUAGAAAGAAGAAUUUAUUAACUUCACAAUCAUGAUAUAAUAUUGGAAUAGCUUACAGAGUUGAUUAAAUAUAAUUCAGGUUUAUUAGAUUACUUUUUUCCAUGUAAACAGUUGGAUGUGUAAAAAAAAGAAAAUGUUUAAGCAGUAAAAACUAAGUAAUAUGAAAAAGCAAGAAUAAAUGUAAAUAAACAGUGAAGUCGCAUGUGCUUAUAUUUGACUGAAACGGAUAAGAGUACUUGUUUAAAGUGCAUUACAUACUAAUACUAGCCACCACACAGUCCUUCUCUGAAGAGAAUAUUAGCCAAAAUGUAAUUAGCAUCUAAUUACUAAUUAGAUGAAUUAGUAACUACUUAAUAAUUAAGACUUAUGUUAGCAUUCGAUGGUCACAACUUUACUGUAAGUACUUAUUGACUUGGUUAUGCUUUGGAAUUUGUAAGGAAUUUAGAAAGACUUAACUGUAAGUUACCUAAAAUAGAUAACUAUCUUGCUUCCUUCAUAAAAAUAAAUAACAUAAUAUAAUUUGUAAAGAGUAACUCAGAAAUUUAAUAAAGCAUUGUUCCAAUAUA